CCCUGCCGGCAUAAGUAGCGAUAAAGCCUGUGAGAAACAGGCUCGCCGAAAGUCUAAGGUUUCCUGAGGAAGGUUAAUCCGCUCAGGGUUAGUCGGUCCCUAAGCCGAGGCCGAAAGGCGUAGGCGAUGGGUGCUCCGGUUAAUAUUCCGGGACCACCUUGGUGCGUUUGAGCGAUGGGGUGACGCGGAAGGAUAGGCAUACGCACGACUGGAAAUGUGCGGCCGCGAUUCUAGGGGGAUCUCCAGGCAAAUCCGGGGAUCACAUACUCCGAGGAAAGCGGGGAAGCGCGGCUUCGGCCAAGCCAACUUGUCGACUCCAUGCCGCCAAGAAAAACCUCUAGCAAGCAUUCAAGGUGACCGUACCGCAAACCGACACAGGUAGACGAGGAGAGAAUCCUAAGGCGCUUGAGUGAUCCCACGUUAAGGAACUCGGCAAUCUAGCCCCGUAACUUCGGGAGAAGGGGUGCCCCUGUAGGGUGACCAUCCUCGCGGUGGAAGCCCGAGGGGGCCGCAGUGAAAGGGCCCAUACGACUGUUUACUAAAAACACAGGUCGCUGCGAAGUCCAAAACGACGUAUAGCGACUGACGCCUGCCCAAUGCCGGAAGGUUAAAGUGAGGGGUCAUCGGGGAGCAAUCCCCGAGAAGCUCUGACCUGAAGCCCCGGUGAAUGGCGGCCGUAACUAUAACGGUCCUAAGGUAGCGAAAUUCCUUGUCGGGUAAGUUCCGACCUGCACGAAUGGCGUAACGAGAUGGGCGCUGUCUCGACGUGGGGCUCAGCGAAUUUGUAGCACCGGUGAAGAUGCCGGUUUCCCGCACCUAGACGGAAAGACCCCGUGCACCUUUACUAUAGCCUAGCAAUGAACUUUGGCCUGGUAUGCGUAGCAUAGGUGGGAGGCUUUGAAGCGUGGCCUUCGGGCUGCGUGGAGCCACCAGUGAAAUACCACCCUUACCGCGCCGAAGUUCUAACCCACGAUCGUGAUCCGGUCGGGGGACAUUGUUAGGUGGGUAGUUUGACUGGGGCGGUCGCCUCCUAAAUUGUAACGGAGGCGCGCGAAGGUUCCCUCAGGCUGUUUGGAAAUCAGCCGCAGAGUGUAAGGGCAUUAUGGGAGCUUGACUGCGAGACCGACAAGUCGAGCAGGUACGAAAGUAGGCCCUAGUGAUCCGGCGGUCCCGCAUGGAAGGGCCGUCGCUCAACGGAUAAAAGGUACGCCGGGGAUAACAGGCUUAUCUGGUCCAAGAGUUCACAUCGACGACCAGGUUUGGCACCUCGAUGUCGGCUCAUCGCAUCCUGGGGCUGAAGCAGGUCCCAAGGGUUGGGCUGUUCGCCCAUUAAAGCGGUACGUGAGCUGGGUUUAGAACGUCGUGAGACAGUUCGGUCCCUAUCUGGUGUGGGCGCAGGAUACUUGCGGGGAUCUGUCCCUAGUACGAGAGGACCGGGAUGGACGGACCACUAGUGUACCAGUUGUUCCGCCAGGAGCAGCGCUGGGUAGCUAUGUCCGGAAAGGAGAAGCGCUGAAAGCAUAUAAGCGCGAAGCCCUCCCCGAGAUGAGGUAUCCCUUCCGCCUUCGGGCGGACUGAAGGCCCCUGGGAGACGACCAGGUUGAUAGGCCGGAGGUGUAAGUGGGGCAACCCACUCAGCUGACCGGUACUAAUCGGCCGUGAGGCUUGACCAUAUCUC
rnacentral:rRNA from 1 species